GAUGAAGAACGCAGCGAAAUGCGAUACGUAAUGUGAAUUGCAGAAUUCAGUGAAUCAUCGAAUCUUUGAACGCAUAUUGCGCUCUCUGGUAUUCCGGAGAGCAUGCUUGUUUGAGUAUCAGUAAACACCUCAACUUCCAUAUCUUUUUUGAAAUGGGAGUUGGACUUGAGUGAUCCCAACGCUUUUCCUCACCGAAAAGUGGCGGGUUACUUGAAAUGCAGGUGCAGCUGGACUUUUCUCUGAGCUAUAAGCAUAUCUAUUUAGUCUGCCUAAAAAACAGAUUAUUACCUUUGCUGCAGCUAACAUAAAGGAGAUUAGUUCUUGUGCUGACUGAUGCAGGAUUCACAAAGACAGGCUUCGGCCGACUUUGUAAACUCGAUCUCAAAUCAAGUAAGACUACCCGCUGAACUUAAGCAUAUCAAUACGGAGGA
rnacentral:misc_RNA from 1 species